UAUGGAGGAUCCGAGCGUUAUCCGGAUUUAUUGGGUUUUAAAGGGUGCGUAGGCGGCCUAUUAAGUCAGGGGUGAAAGACGGUAGCUUAACUAUCGCAGUGCCUUUGAUACUGAUAGGCUUGAAUGUACUUGAGGUAGGCGGAAUGUGACAAGUAGCGGUGAAAUGCAUAGAUAUGUCACAGAACACCAAUUGCGAAGGCAGCUUACUAAAGUAUGAUUGACGCUGAGGCACGAAAGCGUGGGGAGUCAAACAGGA
rnacentral:rRNA from 1 species